AAACUUAAUUUAAAUAAAAAAGAAGUAACAGACGAUACUGGUAUAGUAGUGUAUACUAGGAAUCAUCCGUCACAAGGUACAAAUAAUAACACGGAUGAUGUGGAACAUACAAAAGAAGAAGAUGUUGAGAAAGGCGAAUUGGAUAAAAAUGUAUUUAAAAAAAAUACUAAUACAAACAAUCCUAAUAUUAAGAAGAAGUUUCGAUUUUUUAUUAAAGGUGGAGAAGAUAAUAAUGGGGAAAAGGACAACGGAGUGUUACAAGGAGAAGAGGAUGAAAAAGUGGAUGGAACAGACAAAAAAAGGAACCUUUAUGAUAAUGAAAAUGAAAGCUAUCGAAACAAAAAUAAAAAUGAUAAUUCAAAGUGGGAAAGUAAUAUUAUAAACAAAAAUAUUUUACCUGACCAAUCAUUCGAUUCGAAUGUGUUUUUAAUGAAUAACACAAUUAGAAAAAAUCAACAUAUGUCAAAGAAUACAAAUACAAUGUUUAAUAAACAUUUAUUAAAUGAUAAUUUGGAAAAUCUAACCACUACUACUACGAAUAAUAAUAGUAGUAUUAAGCGGUAUAAUGUGAAUACAAAUAAUAACGUAGAAAAUAAUGCUGAAAUUGAAAUUAACAGUUUUUACAACAAAGGUAGUGGUAAUAAUGUUGUUAACACUAAUACUUCUAAUACUUUUACUAAUAGUAGUAAUAGUAAUAAUCAAAACAAUAUGCACCGUAAUAUGUUUCCUAAAAAAAAUAAUUACUACAUUGAUAAUACUAACAAUAGUACUACUACAAACACAAUGAGAAACAAUAACAAUAAAGGAGGUUAUAACAACACAACUACUCACAUUAAUAGUGCUAAUAAAAAUGUACAUUAUAAUAAUAACUAUAUAAAUAAUAAUUAUAAUAAUAAUGUUAACAAUAGCAAUAGAACAGUUCGUAGAGAUUAUGAAAAAGAUUUUUUUGCAUGGAGACACCCAAAAGAAAACAAGAUAUCAGAUGGGGGUGAAGAAGGUGAUAGUAAUAACAAUAAUAAAAAUGAUAAUAAUUCAAAUCUUAAAGUUGGUGGUUCUGGUGGUGGUAGUACUACUACUGUUACUGACGAUACUACAGACCCCAAUGCUACUCCUAGUGUUACUGAUACUAUUAUUAGUUCUGCUGUUGAUACAACUACUAAUGUUACUGAUACUACUACUACUAUCACCACGAACAACCGUUUACUUAAUUCUAAGAAUGAAACAAAAUCAAAUACAAAUAGAAUUAUGAAUAGAAACAUGUAUAACAAUAUGGACAAUAGUAGCAAUCAUACCUAUAUACAUAACAACAAUCUCACAACCAAUAAUGUUAUGAACAAUUCUAUGUUUGAAGAUUUACACGACCCAACUA
rnacentral:lncRNA from 1 species